GUGGAUAGCUAAUUCCCAUGUAUGCCAGCCUUCAAAAGAGGCCUCAAUAUUGCAAUUUCAAAACAGAUGUGUUCAAAUUUCAAAUCUCCUUUGACAUCCCUGCUCUCUACAAGGCAGUCUCAACCCAUCUUAAGAGUAUCAGGCGACUACGACUUCAUUUUCAGCGAUUUCAACUUCGACGGAGUUUCAUGAUGAUCCGGUUGGAAGUGGCGCCGCUGCUACAAACUCUUCUGAAUCGUCAUCGGAGCCAUCUGCCAUUAUCUCUUCCACUCCAAUCGGUGGCAGCUUCACUUAAUUCAACAAUUCUAAAAAAAUCCCCAAGCUGGUAUCAAUGAUCUUGGAGAUGGAGUUAUUGGGUCCUUUGUUAGAUAGCUUAUGUCAAUAGUAAAAUAGAGUAGUUGGUUUAGGUUAGUGUGAGCCUUAGCACAUGCAAUUGUACUAUAGUCAGUUUCUUUGAUUUGUAUUCCCUAACUUAAAAUUGCUUGAUUGUUUUGAAAUUCAAUGCACUAAAUUUUGAUGAUCC